rnacentral:lncRNA from 1 species
CUCCUACCCUUCUUGUGUGUGACUAGCUACCUACUGUAACAACUUCCCUUUCAAGAGUCCAAGACCUCAAUUCUUUGGAGAAAAAUGGAUGAAGUGGCCUGGCUUCCAGCACCAAUGGCAAUUACCUGGAGGAAUGUCCUUAGGACAACCUGGAGGGAGAUUGAGAGCUUGUAAGUUCCAGGGAUGGAAUCCGAGUGAUCGCUAAGGCAAUUCAUAUAUUUUACCCACCUUAGGAUAACUGGUUUAGGAUUGGACAAACAAUCUCAGCUGCUUCAAUCAGACUCACUGUGCUGGAUAUUAGACCUUCGUCAGACACAUAGACCAGUGGAACAGAAUAGAGAACCCAGAAAUUAGAUCACUCAUCUUCAACCAUCCAAUCUUCGACAAACCUGACAAAAAGCAAUGGGGAAAGGACUCCCUGUUCAAUAAAUGGUGCUGGGAGAAAUGGCUGGCCAUAUUGUGUCUAGAAUUUAUUCCUUCCAGUGGGUUCUUGGUCUCGCUGGCUUCAAGAAUGGAGCCGCAGACCUUUGCAGUGAGUGUUAC